ACAUUCUAUUCAAGCGGACCCACUGUUGUCAUUCAGUUUAUAUCAGACGAGUCAGUGAAUGGACCUGGCUUCAACGUUUCCUGGAAAGUUGAGAAAGAAGAACCUACAACAAUCCUUCCGGCAACUACAAUAAAAGGUA